rnacentral:rRNA from 1 species
GACGAACGCUGGCGGCGUGCUUAACACAUGCAAGUCGAACGGAAAGGCUCCAGCUUGCUGGAGUACUCGAGUGGCGAACGGGUGAGUAACACGUGGGUAAUCUGCCCUGCACUCUGGGAUAAGCCUGGGAAACUGGGUCUAAUACUGGAUAUGACCUUUCUUCUUAUGGGGUUUGGUGGAAAGUUUUUCGGUGUAGGAUGAGCCCGCGGCCUAUCAGCUUGUUGGUGGGGUGAUGGCCUACCAAGGCGACGACGGGUAGCCGGCCUGAGAGGGUGAUCGGCCACAUUGGGACUGAGAUACGGCCCAGACUCCUACGGGAGGCAGCAGUGGGGAAUAUUGCACAAUGGGCGGAAGCCUGAUGCAGCGACGCCGCGUGAGGGAUGACGGCCUUCGGGUUGUAAACCUCUUUCAGCAGGGACGAAGCGUAAGUGACGGUACCUGCAGAAGAAGCACCGGCUAACUAUGUG